rnacentral:rRNA from 1 species
GCAUAUCAAUAAGCGGAGGAAAAGAAACCAACAGGGAUUGCCCCAGUAACGGCGAGUGAAGCGGCAAGAGCUCAAAUUUGAAAGCUGGCUCCUUCGGGGUCCGCAUUGUAAUUUGCAGAGGAUGCUUCGGGAGUGGCCCCCAUCUAAGUGCCCUGGAACGGGCCGUCAUAGAGGGUGAGAAUCCCGUAUGGGAUGGGGUGCCCACGCCCGUGUGAAGCUCCUUCGACGAGUCGAGUUGUUUGGGAAUGCAGCUCUAAAUGGGUGGUAAAUUUCAUCUAAAGCUAAAUAUUGGCCGGAGACCGAUAGCGCACAAGUAGAGUGAUCGAAAGAUGAAAAGCACUUUGAAAAGAGAGUUAAAAAGCACGUGAAAUUGUUGAAAGGGAAGCGUUUGCGACCAGACUCGCCUACGGGGUUCAGCCGGCUUUCGGGCCGGUGUACUUCCCCGUGGGCGGGCCAGCGUCGGUUUGGGCGGCCGGUCAAAGGCUCUCGGAAUGUAACGCCUCUCGGGGCGUCUUAUAGCCGAGGGUGCCAUGCGGCCUGCCCGGACCGAGGAACGCGCUUCGGCUCGGACGCUGGCAUAAUGGUCGUAAACGACCCGUCUUGAAACACGGACCAAGGAGUCUAACAUCUAUGCGAGUGUUCGGGUGUCAAACCCGUGCGCGCAGUGAAAGCGAACGGAGGUGGGAACCCUUUGGGUGCACCAUCGACCGAUCCUGAAGUCUUCGGAUGGAUUUGAGUAAGAGCAUAGCUGUUGGGACCCGAAAGAUGGUGAACUAUGCCUGAAUAGGGCGAAGCCAGAGGAAACUCUGGUGGAGGCUCGCAGCGGUUCUGACGUGCAAAUCGAUCGUCAAAUUUGGGUAUAGGGGCGAAAGACUAAUCGAACCAUCUAGUAGCUGGUUCCUGCCGA